UAGCAGGUUGAAAUCCCGUCCGGGGAAUUGCUCAUUCACUCCGGUAGCACUGCGGAGCAGUAUUUGAGUAAUUGAAUGCUAUAAGUUGCGCGCAGGCAAAGCUGCAGGCCGCAACGCAA
rnacentral:ncRNA from 1 species